rnacentral:misc_RNA from 1 species
UACGUAGGGUGCGAGCGUUAAUCGGAAUUACUGGGCGUAAAGCGUACGCAGGCGGUUUUGUAAGUCAGAUGUGAAAUCCCCGGGCUUAACCUGGGAACUGCGUUUGAAACUACAAGGCUAGAGUGUAGCAGAGGGGGGUGAAAUUCCACGUGUAGCAGUGAAAUGCGUAGAGAUGUGGAGGAACACCGAUGGCGAAGGCAGCCCCCUGGGUUAACACUGACGCUGAGGCACGAAAGUGUGGGGAUCAAACAGG